UGCCGCGUGUGUGAAGAAGGCCUUCGGGUUGUAAAGCACUUUUGUCCGGAAAGAAAUCCUUGGCUCUAAUACAGUCGGGGGAUGACGGUACCGGAAGAAUAAGCACCGGCUAACUACGUGCCAGCAGCCGCGGUAAUACGUAGGGUGCGAGCGUUAAUCGGAAUUACUGGGCGUAAAGCGUGCGCAGGCGGUUUGCUAAGACCGAUGUGAAAUCCCCGGGCUCAACCUGGGAACUGCAUUGGUGACUGGCAGGCUAGAGUAUGGCAGAGGGGGGUAGAAUUCCACGUGUAGCAGUGAAAUGCGUAGAGAUGUGGAGGAAUACCGAUGGCGAAGGCAGCCCCCUGGGCCAAUACUGACGCUCAUGCACGAAAGCGUGGGGAGCAAACAGGAUUAGAUACCCUGGUAGUCCACGCCCUAAACGAUGUCAACUAGUUGUUGGGGAUUCAUUUCCUUAGUAACGUAGCUAACGCGUGAAGUUGACCGCCUGGGGAGUACGGUCGCAAGAUUAAAACUCAAAGGAAUUGACGGGGACCCGCACAAGCGGUGGAUGAUGUGGAUUAAUUCGAUGCAACGCGAAAAACCUUACCUACCCUUGACAUGGUCGGAAUCCUGCUGAGA
rnacentral:rRNA from 1 species